UACGGGGGGGGCAAGCGUUGUUCGGAAUUACUGGGCGUAAAGGGCUCGUAGGUGGCCAACUAAGUCAGACGUGAAAUCCCCAGGCUUAACCUGGGAACUGCGUCUGAUACUGGAUGGCUUGAAUUCGGGAGAGGGAUGCAGAAUUCCAGGUGUAGCGGUGAAAUGCGUAGAUAUCUGGAGGACUGCCGCUGGCGAACUCGGCAUCCUGGACCGCGCUUGACACUGAUGAGCGCAAUCCAGGGGAGCAAACGGG
rnacentral:rRNA from 1 species